CUCACGCGCUCCAGCUGGAUGCAGAACGUCUGAUCCCAGGUCAGCCUGCUGACGGCGGACCAGCGCGUCCGGCCGACCGCUCUGCUGUCGAGCCGAAGCACCGCGCUGACCUCCGCUGAUGCACAGAAAGAAAUAACCAAAAAAUCACAACAAGCUCGAUCCGGCCCUUUCGACCUCUCUGCUCUGUUUACAGAAAGUGUUUCUAGUUAAAAGUCUGAUUAUAACUAUCAACUAAACAAGUUAAAAUGUAUAAUACACUUGUUACGUUACUGUAAUAUGUGCACCUUUAGUUUUGGUUUUUGCACACGUCACAGUUACACUCAGGAAGUUAAUUUCAACUGAAAUAUAAAGAUAUAAAACUAAUUAUCUUUUCUGGACUAGAAAAUAAUAUGAGUGCAAUAAAAUAUGUGUGUGUUCAAAGAAGCAAAGUGAUGUGACAAUGUGGACAGUUCAUUUGAAUUAACUUAAAGAUGCAUUCAUUGUUGUUUUUUGGCCACUUUGGAGCAGAAAAACUUCACAACAAGCGGACGGACUCAGGAGUCUGACACGUAAUCAUCCAACAAGUCAUUGUAAGUCCCACCAACACAACUUCCACAUCCAGCAGACACGGGGCAACAUUAUCAUCCCAUCGAUCCACCUGAUGAAUCUCUAACCGCUGUGGAGGCGAGUGUUCUGAGACUCGUUCUCAUUAUUUGCUGCCAACAUGAGCAACUCCAUGGAUUUGUCUCCUUGUUACAUCAUCAAAGGCGAAACUGGCUUACAACUGAACCGGCCCACAACCAGCAGAUUACAUCUGAUUACACUCAACCAGAGGUCAGCGUCUGGUAAACCAUGAAUCUACAGAGAACGGCUGCGGAUUUGAAUGAGAAAAUACCUCCGAAAGUGGUGCUCUGCAGGAUCCAUAACGUACAAAGACAAAAUGCAUGACUUUAUUCAAAGUAAAGUGGUAGUUUUAUGUGACCCUCUUACUCAUGCAAACUUUUAAAAUGCCUGAUGAUUAAUCAUCUAUAUACACGCAUGAAAACAUUUUGAAUUUGAUCAUUUUUGGUCAGUAAACAGCAUAAUUUGCAACGUACCCGUCAAGGAGGCGGGUCGGAUAGAGAAGAUGGACGGCGAGGUGGACAGGGGACAUCCAGGUCCGGAGUCUCGUGGAGACGGGGGUCCCUCUGAGGGGUCCACCUCCUCUUCUGGCUCCUGGUUCUUUUCCUUCGUGCAUUUCUCCAGAGACAGCCGCAGAAGAUCCAGCUUCUGGGAGGACUCCUGCACCCGGGCCUGAGCCUGAAGGGAAGAUAAAACACUGCGUUGUUGUGAACAUAGUGCUGAUUGGUAUGUUAGGAUACAGGAACCGAUGCUCCACUUCCAACGUAAACAUGUUUUCCAGACUUAAGACUUUAACUCUGAUUGAUUUUGGCUUUUUUAAUGUGCUUUUAUUAAACAUAACAUUUUAGCUAAUCAGUGUCCUUGUGACUGGAAACUGAAAACAAACCAAAACUCUGAACUCUUUAUUUUCUUUGCAUAUUUUACGUUUUCAAUUAUCUAUAUUACUGAUUACAAAUCAAAUAAACUCUUGAAACCCUGCUUACAUUGUCUGAUCUAUAAAACAGUGAACGUCUG